rnacentral:lncRNA from 1 species
UCUGAGCAUGAGAGAACUCUGAAUGAGAAGCCUGACUGUAAAGGAGGCACAGAUUUCAGGUGUCACCUAGUAAUUAUUUUAUCAGACAGAGUUGUGCAAUUGCUUUUCAUUGAAAGGGGAGAUGGUCACUUACAGAAUACAAUUUUCUGCUUUAGAGUCAGAGAGAGGUUUUGGUAAAGUGUUAUGGAACCUCAGAAAUGGUAAAUAUUCUAACUUGGGAGAUCCGUGAAAGCUUCACGGGGAAGAGGCUAUUUGUCAUAGGCUUGAAGGCUGGUUAGGAUUUGGGUCAGUUAGGAAAGGACAUUCCAGGUCGAAGGAACUGCAGGAGCAAAGGAAUGAAGAGAGAAGUGUGGAAAGAGGAACUUCUGAUUGACUGAAGAUACUGUUCAUUUCAUUUUUCAGGAAUUAUGAACCACAGAGAAUGUUGCAUAUAUUCAAAGAAGAUGCUGUUGUUUCAUUUUAGGAAAAGCUUCUGCACACUGAUUAUAUGCACAGUGCUGUUUACCAGUUUGGGGAAUACACACAUGAAAAAGACAUGGGGAAUUAGGAAAGCCUGCAAUCUAACAAAUAACUACAUACAUAUAGAAAGUAUUAAGGACAGUAAGAACAUUAUAGAAAGAAUUAUAGGAACAGUGAGGAGAACCUCACUCUGGUAUUUGUAGUCCAUUAUGCUGCUUUUAUUUUUUAUUUUUUGUCUCUUUUCUUGGUAAUACUGUCUGCUGUUUGGAAAAAUAUUUAGAAGGAUCCAUUUUAUUUUAUUUUUUAUGAAGCUGUCAGUGAUGGUGCUAUCACAAUAAGAUAUUCAGUUCAUGUUGGUCCUUCAGUUUAAUUUGUUUUUAUCUUGCUG